rnacentral:rRNA from 1 species
CCCUUAGAUGUCCUGGGCUGCACGCGCGCUACACUGAUGUGUCCAGUAAGCACCUAACCUCUUCCGAAAGGAACGGGUAACCUUUGCAAAGCACAUCGUGAUGGGGAUAGAUUAUUGCAAUUAUUAUUCUUGAACGAGGAAUUCCUAGUAAGCACAAGUCAUCAGCUUGUGUUGAUUACGUCCCUGCCCUUUGUACACACCGCCCGUCGCUCCUACCGAUUGAAUGUUCCGGUGAGCUCUUCGGACUGCGCGGUCUGCAGUUUCUGCGUUCCGUGCGGAAAGUUGCGCAAACCUUAACAUUUAGAGGAAGGAGAAGUCGUAACA